CCUGGUUGAUCUUUCCAGUAGUCAUAUUCUUGUCUCAAAGAUUAAGCCAUGCAUGUGUAAGUAUGAACAAAUUCAGACUGAUAAACUGCGAAUGACUCAAUAAAUUAGUUAUAGUUUGUUUGAUGGUAUCUACUACUCGGAUAACCAUAGUAAUUCUAGAGCUAAUAUGCGCAACAAACCCCGACUUCUGCAAGAGAUGCAUUUAUUAGAUAAAAGGUCGACGCGGGCUCUGUCCAUUGCUGCGAUGAUUCAUGAUAACUAAACGGAUCGCACGGCCAUCAUGCCAGCGAUGCAUUAUUCAAAUUUCUGCCCUAUCAACUUUCGAUGGUAGGAUAGUGGCCUACCAUGGUGGUGACGGGUGAUGGAGAAUUAGGGUUCGACUCCGGAGAGAGAGCCUGAGAAACGGCUACCACAUCCAAGGAAGGCAGCAGGCGUGCAAAUUACCCAAUCCUGACAUGAGGAGGUAGUAAAAAUAAAUAACAAUACUGGGCUCAAUGAGUCUGGUAAUUGGAAUGAGUACAAUCUAAAUCCCUUAACGAGGAUCCAUUAGAGGGCAAGUCUGGUGCCAGCAGCCGCGGUAAUUCCAGCUCCAAUAGCGUAUAUUUAAGUUGUUGCAGUUAAAAAGCUCGUAGUUGAGCAUAUUAAUAAGCGGAGGAAAAUAAACUUACAAGGAUUCCCUUAGUAACGGCAAGCGAAUAGGGAAUAGCCCAGCCUUAGAAUCGGGCAGCUCCGUCGUCCGAAUUGUAGUCUGGAGAAGCGUCCUCAGCGACGGACCAGGCCUAAGUCCCCUGGAAGGGGGCGCCGGAGAGGGUGAGAGCCCCAUCGUGCCCGGAUCCUGUCACACCACGAGGCGAUGUUUAAGAGUCGGGUUGUUUGAUAAUGCAGCCCAAACCGGGCGGUGAAUUCCAUCCAAGUCUAAAUACGGGCGAGAGACCGAUAGCGAACAAGUACCGCGAGGGAAAGAUGAAAAGGACUUUAUAAAGAGAGUCAAAGAGUGCUUAAAAUUGUUGGGAGGGAAGCGAAUGGGGGCCGACGAUGCGCCUCGGUCGGAUGUGGAACAGCGACGAGCCGGUAUGUCGAUCGACCUAGGGCAUGGAUCAGCG
rnacentral:rRNA from 1 species